rnacentral:rRNA from 1 species
AACGAACGCUGGCGGCAUGCCUAACACAUGCAAGUCGAACGAGACCUUCGGGUCUAGUGGCGCACGGGUGCGUAACGCGUGGGAACCUGCCCUUAGGUUCGGAAUAACACCCCGAAAGGGGUGCUAAUACAGGGAAAUGUACUCGGACAAAAGAUUGAACGCCUUGGGAUGGGCACGCGUUGGUUUAGCUAGUUGGGAGGGAAAAAGCCUACCAAGGCGACGAUCCAUAGCUGGUCUGAGAGGAUGAGCAGCCACACUGGGACUGAGACACGGCCCAGACUCCUACGGGAGGCAGCAGUGGGGAAUAUUGGACAAUGGGCGAAAGCCUGAUCCAGCAAUGCCGCGUGAGUGAUGAAGGCCUUAGGGUUGUAAAGCUCUUUUACCCGGGAUGAUAAUGACAGUACCGGGAGAAUAAGCUCCGGCUAACUCCGUG